rnacentral:lncRNA from 1 species
CGGAUGUAGACGAGGUGAUGAAAGUGUGCUGUUCAUAAAAUAUGCAGUUUAACGAAAAUAUUAGAUAUUGCUUUGAAGCCUUGAAGCUGAAGGUAAUAAUCCAUUUAAUAUAUUAGUGUCAACUGUCAACAAGCUUAAUACUCUGUGUGAUCAUCACAAACUAUUUUAAUUGUGAUUAUCAUUAAAGUAUAACUAAGUACGCAAAUAUAUGCAGUCUAACAAUUUGAUGGACUCAGUUAUACAUAUGACUUGGUUGAGAUUAAAAAAAUACAAUAUCAGAGAAGCUUUGUCUUUUUUUAAGGUUGAAUCCGGUUAUCAUCUCAGCCAUUAAUUGUGAGUGAUGCCAAUCUAGCUCUACGGUUGAAUAAUUUGAAUUUCUCUCCAUGUACAGGCGAUUUUUUUUGGUUGACAAUUUUUUUUUCUAAGGUAAGUUUUUUUUAUAAAUGAAGAUAUAUAAAAGUAAAUUACAUUAGGAGUCUUUAACAACUACUAAAAACAUGAAAAUAAUUUACACUAACUACAUUAAGCUAAUAGAAUUACCAGAUUGCAAGUUAACCCGAAUUAAUCUGCUGUGUUGAGUCAUCAUCACACAUGGUCAUCAUGCUUGCGUCGACCCAGUGAUGCAAUGCAUUUUCCACCCCGUUGUUUCUUGUUCUUGUGCCUAGCAUUUCUUUCUUUCUAUAACAUUCAAGCGAGCGACGCUAUGGUGCUUCACUAUAGACCCCAACACUUGGAAUUGGGUGUUAUUCGAUUAAUUCCCUC